UCCGAGAGGCGUGACAGGUGUGACUGGUGUGUCUCAUGUGUGUCAGAGAGGAGAGAGGUUAUGUCUCAGUGUUCUGACCUAUAACAUCUGAAUGAGUAGUCACCUAACAUU
ensembl:snoRNA Gm24343 predicted gene, 24343